rnacentral:lncRNA from 1 species
AUGGCAGAAGAUGUCCGGAGUGCUGGGCAUGGAGCCGGGGCUCUCUGGUACCCUGGACUGACUCCUUUUUUUGGCUGGCACCGUGCCCCACCCUGCCCGGGGCACGGAGCAUCCUCUGGGCAGCGUUUUGGGCACAAGAGAGAGAGAGAGCCCUGCUUUGCUCUCUGCUGGCCCCUUGCAGCUCUGCAGCAGCCGUGGGCAGCCCUGCAGCCCCUGCUCUGCCCUUUGCAGGAGUGCUCAGAGCGUUGCAUUUUGGAGCAUUGCAGCUCCAGAGCAGCCGCGGGCAGCCCUGCAGCCCCUGCUCUGCCAGCAGCCCCUCUGCCCUUUGCAAAAAGAGUGCUCAGAGUGUUGCAGCUCUGGAGUGUUGCAGCUUGGAGCAUUGCAUCUCUAGAGCAGCUGUGGGCAGCCCUGCAGCCCCUGCUCUGCCAGCAGCCGCUCUGCUCUUUGCAAAAGUACUCAGAGCGUUGCAUUUCAGAGCAUUGCAGCUGGGAGUAUUGCAACUCUGGAGCAGCUGUGACCAGCCCUGCAGCAGGGAUGCAGGUCCUCUUUGCAGCAGGAGUGCUCAGAGCAUUGCAGCUCUGGAGCAGCCGUGGCCGCUCUGCCCUUCGCAGCAGGAGUGCUCCGGAGUGUUGCAGCUCCGGAGUGUUGCAGCUCCGGAGUGUUGCAGCUCCGGAGCGUUGCAGCUCCAGAGCAGCCAUGGCCAGCCCCGCAGCCCCUGCUCUGCCAGCAGCAGCUCUGCUUUUUGCAGAAGGAGUUCUCCGAGUGUUGCAGCUUGGAGCAUUGCAGCUCUUCAGCUCCCCCGGCACGGCCAAGGGCUCCUUGGAUCUGCACGGGUGCCGGCCUCUCUGUUCUCCCAAGCCGAGAUCUGCAAGCUCUGUUCUCAUCACUGCCCCGUCUUCUCCCCAGCUCCAUUUAGAGAGAGUUUUCCGUCACCUCUCUGCUGUUAUUUCCUCUGUCUCGUUCUCCUGUGGAGUUUUUCCUGCCCUGCCCAAUGGACUGGGCUCCACUCCAGCUCCGAGCUCCCAGCCCUGUGCAGGCACCCAGGGCAGGAAUGAGACAACUUCCAGAACUGCUCCUGGGAAAAGUGAGGUUUUUUUACAAGGAAAGGCCUCACUGUCAAAGGAAAUUGAGUGA